UACGUAGGGUGCGAGCGUUGUCCGGAAUUAUUGGGCGUAAAGAGCUCGUAGGCGGUGUGUCGCGUCGGCCGUGAAAACCUGCAGCUUAACUGUGGGCUUGCGGUCGAUACGGGCAUCACUGGAGUUCGGCAGGGGAGACUGGAAUUCCGGGUGUAGCGGUGGAAUGCGUAGAGAUCCGGAGGAAGACCGGUGGCGAAGGCGGCCUGCUGGGCAGUUACUGACACUGAGGCGCGACAGCGUGGGGAGCAAACAGG
rnacentral:rRNA from 1 species